AUACAAGGGACCAUUCAUGAAAAAUUUGGAGUCAUUUGGAUGUGGGGAAGUGUGUGAACAAAAAUUGUGAAAAUGCAUGAUCAUGGUAUGACACCAAAUGCAACACAUGACUUCAAAAAAUCAUAACUCUCAAUCCACAAAUGAUAAAUGCACAAACUUUAUAUGGAAAUGAAGGUCAAUGUGUCUAGUUUUACCACAAAAAAUU
rnacentral:lncRNA from 1 species